rnacentral:rRNA from 1 species
AUUGAACGCUGGCGGCAGGCUUAACACAUGCAAGUCGAGCGGAGAUGAGGUGCUUGCACCUUAUCUUAGCGGCGGACGGGUGAGUAAUGCUUAGGAAUCUGCCUAUUAGUGGGGGACAACAUUCCGAAAGGAAUGCUAAUACCGCAUACGCCCUACGGGGGAAAGCAGGGGAUCUUCGGACCUUGCGCUAAUAGAUGAGCCUAAGUCGGAUUAGCUAGUUGGUGGGGUAAAGGCCUACCAAGGCGACGAUCUGUAGCGGGUCUGAGAGGAUGAUCCGCCACACUGGGACUGAGACACGGCUCAGACUCCUACGGGAGGCAGCAGUGGGGAAUAUUGGACAAUGGGCGGAAGCCUGAUCCAGCCAUGCCGCGUGUGUGAAGAAGGCCUUUUGGUUGUAAGGCACUUUAAGCGAGGAGGAGGCUACCUGGAUUAAUACUCUAGGAUAGUGGACGUUACUCGCAGAAUAAGCACCGGCUAACUCUGUGCCAGCCGCCGCGGUAAUAC